rnacentral:tRNA from 1 species
GAGCCGCUAGCUCAGCUGGUAGAGCAUCGGACUUUUAAUCCGGUGGUCGCAGGUUCGAUUCCUGCGCGGCUCA